ensembl:lncRNA
UGAUUAUACUUGACUCUUACUUCUUCAGGGAUGGGGAAUGGAUCGACUCAGAGCUAUCUGCCUACAGGUAUUUGUUGAUAGUAGUUAAGUGCAUAUGGUAGGGUGGGGACCACAAGAGAGAGCCUGAGUUGUUCAAAUAAUGUUUAUUGAGCUGUUGCUUUUUGCAAACCACUGUAUUCUACAGAAGUUUACAUUCAAGUGGGGAACAAAGGAGAUACGUAGUUAUAUAGAGAUAUAUAAGCUUUUUGACUUUCCGACAAGAAAAAAAAUCCUUCAGUAACCCGCUGAUUAAUUGUGCAGAAAUCUGCUGGGUUUAUAGGUUAUAGGUUUAUUAAAUUGCAGUGAGAAAUUGUAUAUUUGGAAUAUUUGGAACCUGACUUGUUUCAGCACAAAAGUGGGCUCUGUCUGCAUGCCCUUCCUGGUGUUGCUGUGAUGGAAGGAUUACCAUGUCUUUUGACCCCAGGGCCAAUGCACUGCCUCAUCCAUCGUGAGGCCCCUGGGAGAGCCUUGCUGUAGCUCCUCAGAUGGUUCUGAUUGGCAACCACCUGUGGGUGAGCCGGGCCCAGCCCCACACACCACACCUUGCUGUGACACCUGGAGACCAUUGAGGUGUAGAACAGCCUGGAAGGAGGAGGUUCCAGCUUCACAGUGUGGAUGCCGACCGCAAUUUAGGGAACACAGGCCCUUCUCUCUCCUGGAAAGACCAGGGUCAUCUGGCCAGAACUCCACCAGUGAACUCCAGUCUCCAAAGCAAGGCUCUUGGGGUCUUAUUCACUUCAUUAAUAUUUAAUCGAAGAAUCAUACUGAGCUAUUUCCAGACUCUGAGUGGAGGGAACAUGGUACUGCCUUCCCAGUGGAAUUCUGAUUAAUGCACCAUCUCUGUGGUCCCUGAGGAUCACCAACUUCCUCAUCCCCCAACUAUACAUAUUUAUUCUGUGGAGAGGGAGGCAGAAAGUUGGAGAAAGUGGCCUUUCAGAGACGGACUCAGUGAGCAUGACCCAAUUAAUAACAGUAAGACAGAGGCAGCUGGGAAGGUGCAUGGUGUAGGCUCUUCCUGCACCCGGGCACUGGACAGACACUGGAGGACAGAUAUGUGCCGGCUGAGAUCUCAUCCAGUAGGAACUGAAGAUGAUCAUGUCCUCUCUAGUUUUCUGGAGUGUAAAAAUCAGACACUGUGUGAUUCUUCAGAUGAAAAAGAAAACUGCUCUUACGCUAACAAGGAGGUUGGAAUAUGUGUCUUGCGCCUUAGAAAGCAUGGAAAGCAAAUAGUCAUGAAGAAAUAGAAAAUUAGGAAGACAAAUCAAUCAACUCCCUUGUCUCAUUAAAAAAUAAAGUCAGUCUUCCUUUCUCUUUUUGUGACACAUUUACUGAAAGUUUAGACAAAAGUUUAUCAAGGAAUAAUGAGAGGACAUUUUCUCUUUAGUUCCAACAGAUCAAAGAAUAUACAUUAUGAAAACAAAAGAAGUCUGGUUCUGUCUGAGUUGGGGUGAAAAGCUUAAAGGACCUGAAGAGGCAUUUAUACUGUGUGUAUGAGAUACAGAAAGGGUACGUGGGGACAGGUCAUUAAAUUUUACUGUAGAUUGUGAAGUCUUCCCUACCUGCUUUGCAGAUUUCGGUGAAGUCUUAAGU